GUCUCUCGGCAACGGAUAUCUCAGCUCUCGGAUCGAUGAAGAACGUAGCGAAAUGUGAUACUUGGAGCGAAUUGCAGAAUCCUGUGAACCAUCAAGUCUUUGAACGCAAGUUACACCCCAAGCCGUUAGACCGAGGGCACAUCUUCCUGGGUGUGU